GUGCUCGCUUCGGCAGCACAUAUACUAAAAUUGGAACGAUACAGAGAAGAUUAGCAUGGCCCCUGCGCAAGGAUGAAGGAGAUGUGAGUUCCUUGUAUCAUAUUA
rfam:Canis lupus familiaris chromosome 14, whole genome shotgun sequence.